UGUUUUUGUUUAUAAUUGCAUUUUAUUACAUCAUCCUAGGAAGGAGGUGUUGAUUCAUAUUUGAUUGCUAAAUAGAACAGUUUGUCAUAAGAAAACAAAUUUUUUGAUAAAGUGGAUUAUAGCACGGUUGUCUAAAUAUGGUCCAAGUGAAUACAUGAAAGAAGGCUGAUAGUCCGUGAAGAAAUACAAGACUUUGCUUCAUUGCCUGAAGACAGAAACUAACAAAGAUUAUUCGAG
rnacentral:lncRNA from 1 species